rnacentral:rRNA from 1 species
UAAAUGGGAGGUAUAUGUCUUCUAAAGCUAAAUACCGGCCAGAGACCGAUAGCGCACAAGUAGAGUGAUCGAAAGAUGAAAAGCACUUUGAAAAGAGAGUUAAAAAGUACGUGAAAUUGUUGAAAGGGAAGCGUUUAUGACCAGACUUGGGCUUGGUUAAUCAUCUGGGGUUCUCCCCAGUGCACUUUUCCAGUCCAGGCCAGCAUCAGUUUUCGCCGGGGGAUAAAGGCUUCGGGAAUGUGGCUCCCUCCGGGGAGUGUUAUAGCCCGUUGCGUAAUACCCUGGCGGAGACUGAGGUUCGCGCUUCUGCAAGGAUGCUGGCGUA